rnacentral:lncRNA from 1 species
GGUCCUAACACUCAAAACAAGCAGUAGAGCUCUAGAGAAAAAGGAUGCUCCAAGUGAUGAUGAAGACCAAGGGGAAGCACAUAGUGAAAGUGAUGAUAUGGCCUUCAUCACUAAACUUGUCAAGAGGAUAUCAGAUGCCAAAAGGAGAAGAAGCAAUAAGCCUUUCAUAAGCAAGAAGUCUUUCUUUAAAUCAAGAUCUAGCA